CAGUCGCCGCGGGAAGACAGAGGAUGCAAGCGUUAUCCGGAAUGAUUGGGCGUAAAGUGUCUGUAGGUGGCUUUUCAAGUCCGCCGUCAAAUCCCAGGGCUCAACCCUGGACAGGCGGAGGAAACUACCAAGCUGGAGUAUGGUAGGGGCAGAGGGAAUUUCCGGUGGAGCGGUGAAAUGCAUUGAGAUCGGAAAGAACACCAACGGCGAAAGCACUCUACUGGGCCGACAUUGACACUGAGAGACGAAAGGUAGGGGAGCAAAUGGGAUUAGAUACCCGCGUAGUCCCUGUCUCUUAUAC
rnacentral:rRNA from 1 species